GGGCGAGUGGUGGAAUUGGUAGACACGCUAGUCUUAGGAACUAGUAGCUUCGGCUGUGGGAGUUCGAGUCUCCCCUCGCCCA
rnacentral:tRNA from 2 species